ACGCUGGCUGCUUUAUUCCUUUCCCACAAUUUACACUUUCUCACUAUUAAAACCUCCUCCGCUCCUCUCACAAGAGCGUGCAAGCCGGAUUUGCCAUAUUUUCAGUCAUCCUUCAUUGCACAUGAACAUUGGCUGCACCCUAAGCUUGGCUGUGAACUGAUUAUUCUCACCAGGAGCUGUUAACACAAAUUCCAUCACUCCUAUGGCUAAAAAUAAACCAUAUUUAGCACUUGGAAGCAAAAUUCCAGGCAAAUAUAUAAUCUAAUUUGAUUGAAUCUUUGUUGAAAAUGUUAAUGGUGGAAUCAAAUGCUUACCUUUGAGAUGGAAGAUUGCAUUUCUUCUGUGAGCAGGUGGAUAGAAAUCAAUUCCACCUAUCAAAUGAUGUAAUCAGAGAGACUGAUGGAUGCCUAAGCAUCCAAAAUGACACUAGUUCAUCUUUUUUAAGGGCAUUCCCCCCCAUUUGUGGUGCACCGCUAUUGAGGAUCAGUCUUCUCUUUAAAUCAUGCUGCUACGUUGGAGGAUUUAGGAAUAUUUAGUGUUUGUGUAUCCAGCUAGUGUCUGCAUAAUGUGAAAACAUGCUGUGCCUAGGAGAUACAAAUAUUAAUUAUAGUCAUUUGUGAGUGAUGGGAUUAUAGAUGAUUUUAAACUUUCUUCUUAUAAUUUUUCUGUGUCUUGCAAAUGUUCAGUAAUGAAUAUGUCUUACUCUAAGAAAAACAGUACAAAGGCUUUCCAAGUUUUUUGACUGCAACCGACAGUAAGAAGUACAUUUUACAUCCUGAUCCAGUACAAACGUGCAUUUAUGUAUUUAUAAAAUUGAAACAAGAGUUUCAUGAAGCAUUAGUUAACCUUUUUGCUACCUGUCCUUACCUCCUGAUGUUUUCUAUUUUUCUAUUCUAUUUUAUUGAAGAAAAAGAAAGAAAGAAGAGAAUGCAGGUAUUGACCAACUAAAAUGAUUUCAUGAACCACUGACAGGUAAAUUGAAAAAUACUGACUGUGCUGGCCCCGUGGCCUAGUGGUUA